CAUUGAGGGGCAUUUACUCACUGAGUGGAAGAGGUUUGUUUGAAACAGACCGCAAUGGAGAGACCAGCGCCCAGGGAAGCGAGGGAGCAGCAGGCUCCUUCCGGCAGCGCAUCGAGAUGCAAAUACUUGAAGGACCUGGAUGUUACCAGAUUUCCUCGGUAGAAAGCCAUGUGUGACUAGCUGCUUCUAACAAUCAGCAGAUGUUCCACGGAUCAAAGAUCUCCUCCAACCCCUUCCAUCAGGCAGAAGAUACAGAAGCCUAAACACACGCAUGAGCAGGUUCAAGAACAGCUUCUUCCUUGCCCUGAGUAGAAUGAUGAAUGGACGUUUUAGCCUCAAAUAAUGACAAUUUAGCUAAUGUUGAUCUCUCCUAGUGCACACCCUGUCAAUGUAACCUGCAUGCCUCUGUCUUAAGUCAUUUUUAUCUGUACCUUACUGAACAUGAUCUGCCAGAAAUGCUCAUAAACAGAGGUUUUCACUGUAUUUCACUGUAUGUGAUAAUA